rnacentral:sRNA from 1 species
AAAAAAAAAAAAAAAAAGAAGCACAGCAGCUCAGCAAAUUUCCCUCUCAUAUUUUCUACCCAUAAUUGUGUGAGGUAUGUUCCCACUUCAAGGAAGUACUGUGCACUAAUUCAUCAUGAUUCCAGAGCUGUACAAUUAUACUUCAAAGGAUUAAAAUGUCAAAAGUCAAUGAAAACUCUUUUCAGAAGACCAAGAAAAUAAGGCGAUUUCCUAAAAAGUGGAUUGAAAGCACUAAAGAUCAAGGGGGGAAAAGGCACCUUUAAAAAAAAAAUCUGCUUUAAACUAAUAGGAUGGAGAGUUCUAGGCAUAUCAUUACAUGGAAGGAAGAUGUAAAUAAGAACAAGGGAGGGAAGGAGGGAGGGAGGGAGGGAGAGAGAGAGGGAGGGAGGGAGGGAGAAGAAGGCAAACCAUAAUGAGUCAGGAAUCUCUAUCCCUUAGCUAAGUGCCCACAAGGGACAUCUAACUAUGAAACAUACAAGGAAUUAAGAAUAAAGAAGAAAGAAAUAAUGAUUCAACAAUCCCAAGAAAAAGAGAGAAAAAUAUUUAGGAAAGAAAAUAGUAAGAAAGCAUCUUGGUAUCACCAAGCCCAAAUAAGAAGCCUCUAAGGCCCACUCCCAUAGGCUGCCUAAUAAGAAGCUUCUAAGGCCACUGGCAUAGGCUGCCUAAUAAGCCUUCAAGAGUCUUCAAAAUAAGCCCGGAGAAAAAACCCCAGGAUGCUAAUACCCCAGGGUAUCUUAGUAAUGGCAUGGGUGUGAUGGGUCCUCUCCCACUUAGAUUUUUAACCCUGACAGACAUAAUAAUCACUUAUUCAAAAAACAAAAAACAAAAACAAAAUCUGGGACUAUCAGGGUGGAUACAAGUGUAAAUCUGGUUGGUUUUGUUGUUGUUGUUGUUUGUUUUGAGGCAGACUGUUAUUCUGUGACCCAGUCUGGCUUCCAGCUCAUAACAAUCCUCUUGCCCUGUCCUUUGAAGUUGUGGGUUUGCAAGUGUGAGCCAAUACAACUAGAAUUCGGUUACUUUUAAUAAAUUUAUCCUAUUUUAAAUCGAAUAUGCUCUUAGCAUACGAAAAUUUAAAGAUGCAGAUUAUAAACAUGAAAUGAACCAUUAUCUAUCUGGUAUCUGGUGGUUGUCCAGUCACCAAAAAUAAUGACAGAUAAGGUUUUAAUGUAUUUUCCUCCAUCCAUUUUUUUCACAUGUUCCUGAUGUUGUAGGAACAAUUCGUGGUCUAUUAUAUUUAAAACUAUCUCGUCUCUUAUACAGGUGUCACUUCUUAAAUUUUAGACUAAAACAACUGGCUACAAGCACGUUUAAUUUGUGGCAGUAUUUUCACAACACAUUAGAAACCAACAGCAGCUUUUGGCUGUGGCUGCAGGAGACCUACCCAGAAUCUCCCCAUUGGCUGAGGGGUGGGGAUCUUGGGCCUACUACACCAAUGCACCCCAAGUGGGACACUGAGAAGAGAGUUCAGUGCCCCAGUGUCAGAAACAGGAGAUUCCUAUAAUAUAUCUGUUCCAGGGCAGAAGCUAAGAACUAUUGUGAUGAAGAACAAAUUCCCUGUGUAGAAUUAAGUAACUUAUUUAAUUCUAUAUUACUCUACUGUUGGGGGUGGUGGGGCUUUCAAAUAAUCCACACAUUUAAAAACCUGUCCCUGAGCGUGAUCUUCUCACCAUGUUACUAGAUAAACCCUGUUACACCUCUGGCCUUGGUGAAGUAUACCAAGUACUUAUGAAGGUCUACCCAAAAAAACUCUCAGGAAGAAAAGGCCUUUUCACAGGUAACCCUACCCCUAUUAGAUAUACACUCAGCAUUCUCUGAAGCUUCAUGCUGGCAUUCACAGAACACAGAAAAGAUAACUCCUGUCUUGCCCAUCUUGCCAAAAAUAAGGCAUCUGGUAUAUUAUUUUAAACUUCACAGAAAACAGAGAAGGAAUUCGUAAGUGUAAGACAUUGGCUAUGCAUUUCCUGGUAAUAUACUUCACAACAAGAAACACACAUUUCUAUAGUAACUAAGAGGUCUGUGCAACUGCUUUAAAGAGAUCAAUACUGUGUUGCAAAGUUGUAAACUUCUGAUUUGUUUCAUCCUUCUGACCAAACUAUAGAUUAAAAAAAACUAAAACAAUUGUAUCUAAAAUGUAAAAGUAUACUCUGUUCUUGCCACACCCUAAACAACACUGUAUAACUAACUAUUCACGCAGCAUUUAUACACUAUUAUAAAUUAUUGCUUAUAAGACAUUAUAGGUAAUCAAGAGAUUAUCUGAAGAUGUGAGGAAAUGUGCAUGCAGUUACUAUUGUUAUAUACAAAUACUAUUUCUUGGAUAAUUAUUUGAAUAUCCAUUUGGUUAUCUGUGGGAACCGUGGUGCCGGGUUUCCCCAACACACACAUAAACGAUGAUUUUUAAGAUGCCUUGUUGUCUACAAAACUUACAAAGUUGUGUAUCUUUAAAGACUUCCAUGUAUAAAUCCGGUCACCAAUAAUUAAUUACAUACUCACAGAAUUCCUACUUCUAUAACAAGCACAGCUACAGGAGAAGCCUACAGAACAAAAAUAUCAGGAAAUAACUAUCAAGCAAGACAUGCCUGAGCCAUAUCCGCAAGGCAGGACUAUCUGUGCCACAUGAUGCGUAAAUACAGCCCAGAUGUCCAGUUUGAUAAGCUCCAUUUGAACCUUUCUGGGACUGACUAUCCACAUCCACGAAAUGACAUCACUGACACCUAAUCCACAGGCUAUGUAAGGUCCAACUCUGGCAGUGUGUGCAAAAGGCUAUGUGCAUGCCUUCAUCGUAAAGGCUCCUAUUUCUUCUCAACGCCAUCCCCUUUGUAUAAGGGAGGGGUCUAGAAUCCCACAAAUCAAGGAUCUGAAAGUUCUCAGAAACAAAGUUGGUGUUGACUUUGCUAGUGAAAUGAGGUCCUAAGUAAGUUCUGUAACACUUUCAAACACCAGCUUCCUUCUCAGUCAGAGAUUAGUUAACUUGUCUGGAUGAUGACCAGCUCGAAGAAGGUUUUGUCACCAAAGAGCUUAUGAGGGAAGAUAGAGAGCAGAGAAACUGUACCUGAAUGCUGUCUCCUAGAACAAGAACCCUCUUCUUGAACCUAAAUGGCUAUUAAUAAGAGCCAUGGAGUGAAGUAGAGAUGUAUAAGAUAGGGAAGCAGGAGAGGAUUGGCUUUACCCAACAAAGAGUAGGUUUUUAUAAGAAAUACUGGAAAAGUAAGUAUGCCAUUCUAGUAUGAAGGAUAGGAGAUCCACAACUCUAACUGAAUCUGGGGAAGAGUGGCUGUUAGAACUGCAACAUACAACUGUACAUGUGUAAUAAUGGAGCAGAACUCCAGAUGGUGACCAAGACCAAAACAGUGUUGUUCUCUGUGCCCUUAUCGUGCAUUGGUUAAAAGUCUUGCCACCUCUGAAUCUAAAGUAGCAAAAGAUACGACAGAGCACACCAUAGAGAAGAGAAUGGGCAUCUUCAAACACUGGGAGGGUCAAGUCAUCAUGAGGAUGUGCAGGAAGAAGGGUCAACAGGAGUUCCAUUCAUCUCUCUACAGCGACCUGAAGUGUGGAGUUGUGAUUCAAGUUCUCUGGUAUCCUCUAAGGUCAAAAGGAAAUUUGAUUUACCUUUUAAAUAUCUUAUUUCCCUUCCUGUAUUCUAGUGUAAUAAGAAGAUGACAUUGGAGCAGCCAGGCAUGGUGGCACACGCCUGAAGUCCCUUCAUUGAGAGGUAGAAGUGGGAGAUCAGGAGUCUAAGGAUAGUCUUGACUAUAUCCUGAGUUCAGGGACAGCCUAGGUUUAUUGUGAUGUCUCAAAACACACAAUUUUUAAAAACAAAACAAAAUUUAGAGAGACAGAGAUAGAAGACUAUCACUGGAAAUUCUUCAGACAUCACGUUUUCGUCACAGAAAAAUAAGAACCACCCACUGAGCUGCACAAAUGGUUCGACAUUAGAUCUCAUUAAACAGUCCGAGGAAGCCUGCAGGUAUUUAUGGCAGCCUAUUGGUGAGGAAAAGGUGGAGGAAUAUCACCAAAGAUAUCACCAAAGCUUGCUGAUAACAAGCUUUGAGGGUGUGUCCAUUGUUCCCAGACACCCUGCAAUCACUAACCACAGGUAAGAGUGGAUGGGGCAAGACAAAGGACCCCAGUGCUCUGCAUUGGAGACUUCCUAAUGCAACUUUCAACAAGGCCAUUUAAGAAAUCCACGACGUCAGCAUCUGAAACCAUGAAAGUUGUUAUCCUAAACUGGAGCAUCUAAAAGUAGAUUUGAGUGGUUUUCACUGAGUUUUUCCCCCCAGUUGCCAAGGUGUAGGGGGUCUCUCUCUCUCUCUCUCUCUCUCUCUCUCUCUCUCUCUCUCUCUCUCUCUCUGUGUGUGUGUGUGUGUGUGUGUGUGUGUGUGUGUGUGUGUGUGUGUGUGUGUGUUGACUUGUCUGCAGAUCUCACAUGCUUAGCAGAUGUGAGCAGAAAUCAAAGCUGUGCUGCACACAGCCCUGGACAGUGGCUCCCUGAAACAAAGUUCAGCUUUUCACAAUGGCAUCGCCAGAGUGAUAAAUGUGCACAUUAGAAAGUUAAAUCUCACAGAAAAAAAUGUUCAAUAGAGCCAUCAAUUUUAUUUGGGUUUCAUCUGGCUGCAAUUUCUGUCUGCAGUCAUUUCAUUGUGGAACAACUGAGCACUACACAGGCACCUGGAUUCACUUCGGGGUCUCUGGUCCAUGAACUAUGGCAUUCCUCACAUAGUUUUCCAGAGCAAGGACUGUAAUGUCAGUUCCCUACCUCCUAGGUCACUGUAAAACAUUCCCUGCCCUUUGAUGUGAAAGAAAAACACUCCACUUUUCAAUAUUACAAGGACUGGAAUUUUUUUUGAAGGAAGCCAAAACAGCACUCUGGAGGCCAACCUAAGAGUCUUCCCAACCAUGGGAAACUAUCGUCAAGUGAUAAACGCAGAGUUUACCUCUUCCUAAAACCUAGUAUACCAAGGAAAAGAAAACAUUUAAACAUUUUCCCACAGUUAUCCUCAAAGUCCAUCUCAAUCGUUAAGAAUUUCUCUAUCCUUUAAGUGCUUGGACAAUUUGUUAUUAUUAAAUGUAUGUUAAGCCAACAUUUUAGAACAUUGCUGUUUUCAAUUAUUUUUUCCUCUCCUUCCCAGCAGGAAUUUAGAGCUAUAAUAACAAUUCCACACCCACCUCUUACUGAAUAAUUAUAAUUGUGGGCCAAUUAAACUAAUCAUCUUUUCACAUAUUUUUAUCCAGUUUACAGAUGUAAAUCUCUCCUGGACUGCCAAGAAUGAAGGUUCCUCUCAGAUAGUAGCCAGGAAUCUUCUAGAGAAGCCAGCAUGGGGGCAAAAUCAACUCCCAGGAAAAUUACUAAGUAAUGCUUCCAAAUAUGUUAUAUGAACAGGGGCCAGAUAUCCUACUGUGAACCAUUCACAAAGGACUUUUCUAAGUCAAAACCCUCUAUUGAUGUGGUUGAGUUUAAACAGAAACACUACCAAAUCAUCUAAAAAGGAGAUUCCAAAGAGUAUAAGAUUUUAGAUGCCUAAUAAUCCAUCACAUACAUGUUUAGAAAAAGGAGCAAGGAAUAAGAUGGUCUAUAAAGCUAUUUUAAACGCUAAGGUUUGUUACUGUGAUAGGAACCAGUAAGAAUGGAACAACUGAGCUCAGAACCCCUUAGAGAAAUCUUCCUUGAAGAGCCACACAGUGCACUAUUUUGGAAGGGAAGAACACACUUCUAGCCAGACAUCUAGUGACAGUGAAAGGGGAAAGUGCCAACCGCAGACAAGGACAGCAAGUGGGAAACACAGUUCCUUUGUGUACAGCUACUCCAGGAAGAGACAUGCCAGUUCCUAGAUAAGUCACCAUCUGAUGAGAUUCCUGACCCAGCUGACAGUUUAGAAGACUUAGAUCUUCAAUCUGCUCAUUUUGCUCUCUAAAAGUUCAAUAGCACAGCUUAAUAACAACUUCAAAUAUCCACCACAGUCCCAUAGGUUACUUUAGCAGUGCAAAUAGAUUCUCCAAAGGUUACACAGUAUAUAUCUCAUGAAUUAGAACAACUGCCUACCCAGAUUACCACUUCGAUUCUCCCUCAGAUUCUAUUAUCAAAAGAACAGCAUUAAAAAUCCUGGGGAUUUAAGAGACACAGGAAAACAGGAUUGGAUUCUUUUAGUUUUGUUUUGUUCUUGCUUGUUUCUUUGUAUCUCUGUUCACUUUAGUGUCUUCUCUAAGUAUCCGAAACUGUGUAUGUUUGGUAAACACAGUACUUUUGCUCUGUCCAAUCUUUUUUUCUAGGUGGUGGUAGGGAAGCCAGGUCACUGCUUGAUAUGUUCAUUUCCCAGCAACAGGGACUUCAAAACCCUAAUCAAUCGCCCAAAUACAUUCUAAUGAGAUGAUUGAAUAAAACCACUUUUCAAACCACAGCUGUCUGGAAGACACUUUUCCUAUGUGUGAUAUCAAAAUCUUGGGUAAAGAAUAAGUGCAAAGAAAGAUAAUCUGUAACAUCUCAGUAAAGUGCCCUAAAUACAGCAUCUAGUUUUUACUUUUACAGAAA